AUUUUUACGUCGAAAUUAGGUUCUAAUUAUUAAGCGAUUAGAUUAAAAGGGAAUCAAGUGAAAAGAGGCACGAUUUACAAUCGGAAAUCUUCAUUCUUGUACUGUUCCCGCAACUGUAAGUUUUAUGUUCAAAGAUUGAGCAUCUCAUUUUUGAGAGUUAUUAUUUUCUUCAAAACCACUGACAUUUAUGUUGGGAAGGUGAAAUAAUAAGAAACAAGUCAGGAGACCUGCCAAUUUCAACUAAUUAAU
rnacentral:ncRNA from 2 species